UUUCCGUAGGUGAACCUGCGGAAGGAUCAUUAAUGAAGUUUACCGGUCAGUGCUGGCGAGUUCCAACUUGCAUGUGCACGGCCGUCUUCCUUUYUAUCAACCCCCUGUGCACCCUUUAAUUAAGUGGAUCCGAAGGGAAGCGCGUCUGGGGGGAGGAUUUAACCUURGUAGUUGUGGGUCCCGAAAGGGACGCACGGCAAAAGGUUAUUCUGUUAAUCCCUGCGCGCGUGGUACUUUGGAGUUCAUUUAACUMCAACCCACAUAAAUAAUAGUCUUGUGGAAUGUUUAGUCCUACGGGACGCUAAAUACAAUACAACUUUCAACAACGGAUCUCUUGGCUCUCGCAUCGAUGAAGAACGCAGCGAAAUGCGAUAAGUAAUGUGAAUUGCAGAAUUCAGUGAAUCAUCGAAUCUUUGAACGCACCUUGCGCCCUUUCUUUCGGAAGGGCACGCCUGUUUGAGUGUCAUGUUCAUCUCAAUCCCCUUGGUUUUGUAAAAGAAACUGAUGGGGAUUGGAUUUGGGGGCUGCCGGUUUCUCUUACCAGAGGUCGGCUCUCCUUGAAUGCAUUAGUGGGCAUCUGACUCGCGUUGCUGGUGUGAUAGUUACCUUCAUCAUCGGCAAAGCUUGUCUAAUGGGUCUGCUUUCGAACGGUCUUCUCAACGGAGACAAUUACUUGACACGUUUGACCUCAAAUCAGGUGGGACUACCCGCUGAACUUAAGCAUAUCAAUAAGCGGAGGAAAAGAAACUAACAAGGAUUCCCCUAGUAACUGCGAGUGAAGCGGGAUGAGCUCAAAUUUAAAAUCUGGCAGGUUCUGUCUGUCCGAGUUGUAAUCUGGAGAAGCGUUUUCCGCGCCGGACCGUGUACAAGUCUCUUGGAACGGAGCGUCAUAGAGGGUGAGAAUCCCGUCCAUGACACGGACCGCCGGUGCUUUGUGAUACGCUCUCGAAGAGUCGAGUUGUUUGGGAAUGCAGCUCAAAAUGGGUGGUAAAUUCCAUCUAAAGCUAAAUAUUGGCGAGAGACCGAUAGCGAACAAGUACCGUGAGGGAAAGAU
rnacentral:rRNA from 1 species